GACGAACGCUGGCGGCGUGCUUAACACAUGCAAGUCGAUCGGACCCUUUGGGGUUAGUGGCGAACGGGUGAGUAACACGUGGGUGAUCUGCCCUGCACUUUGGGAUAAGCCUGGGAAACUGGGUCUAAUACCGGAUAGGACUACGCACUGCAUGGUGUGUGGUGGAAAGCUUUUGCGGUGUGGGAUGGGCCCGCGGCCUAUCAGCUUGUUGGUGGGGUGAUGGCCUACCAAGGCGACGACGGGUAGCCGGCCUGAGAGGGUGACCGGCCACACUGGGACUGAGAUACGGCCCAGACUCCUACGGGAGGCAGCAGUGGGAAUAUUGCACAAUGGGCGCAAGCCUGAUGCAGCGACGCCGCGUGAGGGAUGACGGCCUUCGGGUUGUAAACCUCUUUCGCCAGGGACGAAGCGCAAGAGACGGUACCUGGAGAAGAAGGACCGGCCAACUACGUGCCAGCAGCCGCCGUAAUAC
rnacentral:rRNA from 1 species